rnacentral:misc_RNA from 1 species
GUAGGUGAACCUGCGGUUGGAUCAUUAACAAAUGAUUUGGUUUCAAACCAAAACACUGUGUGCAAUUACAUCUGUCUCUGGUGGUAAGCUUAAAUUCUCAUUCUGGCCAGUGCUCCGAACGUCGAAAUUGUGCAGAUGUUCAAAUCCCGCACGGGUUGAAAAUGCCAGGAAAGAAUGGUGCGCCACCGAAUUUUGAAUAAACAACUGUAUAUCUUAAAAUAGUCUGAAUCAUUCACAAUUUGUGCAAUGAAAACAAUUUUUAACAACGGAUCUCUUGGCUCUC